ensembl:lncRNA
GCCGGCCCGACUAGCGGUGCGCGCUCGGCUUUUCGGCGUCAGCGCCGGAAGCGUGGCGGCUCCCCGGCUCCGGGCCGCCCGGAGGUAUGCUCCAUGAUGUCAGGCACACAGUAGGUGUCAAUACUUGUUGAAUGUUGAAUCAACAAGAACAAGGAAGCACCUUAAAAGCAGUUGGAGAGAAAAGGGACAUCACAAAGAUAGGAGAGCAGCGAAUUUCUUGGCCAAAACAACACAAGCCGCAAGGCAAUGAAGGAAACCCUGCAGCAGGAAAAGAAAACACACUGUCCACCUUGGACUGCACCUGCCGCGGAACGCGCCCCCAAACUAAGGAAGCUGGGGUGCAGGCAUUUCGGACAAAAGCUGAGGGAAUUCAUCACCAGCAGUUUUACGGUUUAAGAAAUGUUACAGAACUUCAGAAUUAAAUUCGAAUUUAAUAUUUGGAAAAUUUCCACAUAUUUGGAAAUUAGCCAUCAGACAUCUAAAUAGUCAUGGGUCACGUGAAACAAUCACAAGGGAGACUAAAGUAUUUUUAACUGCGUGAAGAUUAAACAUUAAAAUGUAGGGGUGUUUAUGUUAGAGAUGAAAGGUUCCACAGCAGUGAUCUUCCCCUUAAGAAGCUAGAAAAAGAAUAAUUAAAUCCAAAAUAGCCUUUAUUUUCUUGGGCUCCAAACACACUGUGGAUGGUGACCACAGCCAUGAAAUUAAAAGAUGCUUGCUCUUUGAGAAAGCUAUGACAAACCUAGACAGUGUUAGAAACCAGAGACGAUCACUUUGCCAACAAAGGUCCCUAUAGUCAAAGCUGUGGUUUUUCCAGCAGUCACGUAUGGAUAUGAGAGUUGGACCAUAAAGAAGACUGAGCACCAAAGAGUUGAUGCUUUUGAACUGUGGUGUUGGAGAAGACUCUUGAGAAUCCCUUGGAUAGCAAGGCAAUCCAACCAGUCCAUCCUAAAGGAAAUCAGUCCUGAAUAUUCACUGGAAGGACUGAUGCUAAAGCUGAAGCUCCAAUACUUUGGCCACCUGAUGCAAAGAACUGACUCAUUGGAAAAGACCCUGAUGCUGGGAAAGAUUGAAGGCGGGAGGAGAAGGGGACGACAGAGGAUGAGAUGGUUGGAUGGCAUCACCGACUCAAUGGACAUGAGUUUGAUCAAACUCCCAAGAGAUUGUGAAGGGAAGCCUUCAUGCUGCAGUCCGUGGGGUUGCAAAGAGUCGGACAUGACUGCGCGACUGAACAACAACAAACCCAAAAUAAGCAGAAGGAAGAAAACAAGAGCAGAAAUCAAUUGAAAAUAGUCAAACAAUGGGAGGCAGUAAUCCAAAAUACGCUUUGUAAUAUCUAUAAAAUUGAAAUUCUGAUUGAUAGAAAGCUGACUGUAGCUAAACUGAUCAAGGAAAAACUGAGAAACAAAUGAUCGAGAAGAGGAAUGGCUGCACCUCAUGACAGGUCCUCCAGGCGUUACAUGUAACAGCACAUUACAGAUGAUGCGCUCAGCGAGGGCCCAAGCAGGUCAAACCCAGCAAUACAUAAAGAACACAACAUGCCAAGUGGGGUUUAUCCAGGAAGGCAAGUUUUGUUUACCCAUUCAAAUCAAAGAAUGUAAUUCUCCGUAUCAACAGAAUAAAGAAGAAAAAUCACAUGGUAAUUUCCUUAGACCAAAAAAGAAAACAUUUGACAAAAUUCAUCAAUUCACGAUAAUAAUUCUCAGGAGACUCCCUCAACCUGCUAAGGAACACCCUGGGAAACCUGCAGAAACAUCAAACUUCUCAACAGUGAAAGGUGACACUCUCUGCCCAAGAGUGGAGACAAGGCCACGACACCCCCUCCUGUUUUAACCAUGAGCUGGAGGCUCUGGCUGGUACAAGAAGGGAAGAAAAAGACACAAGACAUGGACAUCAGGAAGAAGUGAACUCUCUAUUUACAGAUGAUACAACCGUGUACACAGACUAUGUCUUAAAAUUUACCGAAAAGUAAGACUAGGGAGGGACUUCACAAGGCACAGGCUACAAGGUCUAUACAAAGUCACUGUCUGUUACCACACUGGAACCCCUGGAAAGG